GGUUAAGCGACUAAGCGUACACGGUGGAUGCCCUGGCAGUCAGAGGCGAUGAAGGACGUGCUAAUCUGCGAUAAGCGUCGGUAAGGUGAUAUGAACCGUUAUAACCGGCGAUUUCCGAAUGGGGAAACCCAGUGUGUUUCGACACACUAUCAUUAACCGAAUCCAUAGGUUAAUGAGGCGAACCGGGGGAACUGAAACAUCUAAGUACCCCGAGGAAAAGAAAUCAACCGAGAUUCCCCAAGUAGCGGCGAGCGAACGGGGAGCAGCCCAGAGCCUGAAUCAGUGUGUGUGUUAGUGGAAGCGUCUGGAAAGGCGCGCGAUACAGGGUGACAGCCCCGUACACAAAAAUGCACAUAUUGUGAGCUCGAUGAGUAGGGCGGGACACGUGGUAUCCUGUCUGAAUAUGGGGGGACCAUCCUCCAAGGCUAAAUACUCCUGACUGACCGAUAGUGAACCAGUACCGUGAGGGAAAGGCGAAAAGAACCCCGGCGAGGGGAGUGAAAAAGAACCUGAAACCGUGUACGUACAAGCAGUGGGAGCACGCUUAGGCGUGUGACUGCGUACCUUUUGUAUAAUGGGUCAGCGACUUAUAUUCUGUAGCAAGGUUAACCGAAUAGGGGAGCCGAAGGGAAACCGAGUCUUAACUGGGCGUUAAGUUGCAGGGUAUAGACCCGAAACCCGGUGAUCUAGCCAUGGGCAGGUUGAAGGUUGGGUAACACUAACUGGAGGACCGAACCGACUAAUGUUGAAAAAUUAGCGGAUGACUUGUGGCUGGGGGUGAAAGGCCAAUCAAACCGGGAGAUAGCUGGUUCUCCCCGAAAGCUAUUUAGGUAGCGCCUCGUGAAUUCAUCUCCGGGGGUAGAGCACUGUUUCGGCAAGGGGGUCAUCCCGACUUACCAACCCGAUGCAAACUGCGAAUACCGGAGAAUGUUAUCACGGGAGACACACGGCGGGUGCUAACGUCCGUCGUGAAGAGGGAAACAACCCAGACCGCCAGCUAAGGUCCCAAAGUCAUGGUUAAGUGGGAAACGAUGUGGGAAGGCCCAGACAGCCAGGAUGUUGGCUUAGAAGCAGCCAUCAUUUAAAGAAAGCGUAAUAGCUCACUGGUCGAGUCGGCCUGCGCGGAAGAUGUAACGGGGCUAAACCAUGCACCGAAGCUGCGGCAGCGACGCUGAUGCGUUGUUGGGUAGGGGAGCGUUCUGUAAGCCUGUGAAGGUGUGCUGUGAGGCAUGCUGGAGGUAUCAGAAGUGCGAAU
rnacentral:rRNA from 1 species